GGCACUUUGGCGGAGUGGUUAACGCGAUGCCCUGCUAUAGGCUAAGUAAUUAGCAAUAGUCCAGGCAUUCCCUUCGGGGGCGUGUGUUCGAAUCACACAGGUGUCG
rnacentral:tRNA from 1 species